rnacentral:sRNA from 1 species
CUUCCAUGAUCUGCGGACAGAUCAGGUGCACAUGGCAGUCGAUCGCUCCGGCGGUCAGGAUCCGGCCGUUGCCUGCGAUGAUCUCGGUGGACGGCCCGACCACCAGAUCGGGGUGGACACCGGUCAUGAUGUCGGGGUUUCCCGCCUUGCCGAUGGCCACGAUGCGACCGUCGCGGAUACCGAUGUCGGCCUUGAUGAUUCCCCAGUGGUCGAUGAUCACCGCGCCGGUGAUGACCGUGUCGGGCGCCCCGUCUGCACGGGUGGCUCUCGACUGCCCCAUCGACUCUCGCAG